AGCAGCCGCGGUAAUUCCAGCUCCAAUAGCGUAUAUUAAAGUUGUUGCAGUUAAAAAGCUCGUAGUUGAAUUUCGGGGUUAGUAGGUUGGUCAUGCCUCUGGUAUGUACUGGUCUCACUGAUUCCUCCUUCCUGAUGAGCCGUAAUGCCAUUAAUUUGGUGUUGCGGGGAAUUUGGACUGUUACUUUGAAAAAUUAGAGUGUUUAAAGCAAGCUAACGCUUGAAUACAUUAGCAUGGAAUAAUGAAAUAGGACGUUCGAUCCUAUUUUGUUGGUUUCUAGGAUUGACGUAAUGAUUAAUAGGGAUAGUUGGGGGCAUUAGUAUUCAAUUGUCAGAGGUGAAAUUCUUGGAUUUAUUGAAGACUAACUACUGCGAAAGCAUUUGCCAAGGAUGUUUUCAUUAAUCAAGAACGAAAGUUAGGGGAUCGAAGACGAUCAGAUACCGUCGUAGUCUUAACCAUAAACUAUGCCGACUAGGGAUCGGAUGAUGUAACUUUUUAAUGA
rnacentral:rRNA from 1 species